UCUGUGUCCCUGGACCACGCAUGGUCUGGCACAGGGACCCGCAGGGGCAGGUGGGCAGCUGCCUCCCACGGCAACAGUUCAACACCAAACCUAAUCAAUUCAUGUGCCUUUCCACCAACUACCUCGGCCAUCUGUCCGGACCUGAACUACACACCACACAGGAACACAGCAGCACUACGAUGUUCACUCCGGUGCACACAGAACGACAGAACUCACCAUCAGAGGCUAUAUCCCAUGUUGUUAUCUAACUAGAGAUGUUGAAGACAAUGCUGGUACAAAAGAGUGAAUAUCCUCCAACCAAAACCUUCACAGCAUUCACAGCAGAACAGCAGGAGUGAGCAGAGAGCAGAGAGCUGGAACUGAGGGACUUCAUAUCCCCAGGCUGGUGGCUGGUGCCACUGUGACAUUCACAGAUGGGGACUCAGAGGAGACUCAGAGGAGAGAGAGAUGCGCUUCUCAUCUCUGAUGCUGUCUGCUUCAGAGUAGCAGAACUGCACAGAGCACAGAACACAGACACAGUGAAGAGCUGAGUAUCAAAGACAAAACAUCGUCGAACACCCCAUCAAUCUGUCAGAGUCAGAGCGAGGAAGUGACAGAAUGUAAUGUGCAGAAUAAAACAACUAAAGUACUGUAUUAAAAGUUUUUUUUAAAAGAUCAUGUAAAAAUCAUUUGAUAUGCACCUGUAAAAUAAAUAUGUUUGUUUGU